rnacentral:rRNA from 1 species
CAGUAGCCGCGGUAAUACGUAGGUGGCAAGCGUUGUCCGGAAUUAUUGGGCGUAAAGGGCUCGCAGGCGGUUUCUUAAGUCUGAUGUGAAAGCCCCCGGCUCAGCCGGGGAGGGUCAUUGGAAACUGGGAAACUUGAGUGCAGAAGAGGAGAGUGGAAUUCCACGUGUAGCGGUGAAAUGCGUAGAGAUGUGGAGGAACACCAGUGGCGAAGGCGACUCUCUGGUCUGUAACUGACGCUGAGGAGCGAAAGCGUGGGGAGCGAACAGGAUUAGAUACCCCAGUAGUCCCUGUCUCUUAUAC